CUAGUAGUGAGAAGACGGCACAGAAGUAGCUUCGGCUAGUCGAAAGAUCCUUUCGACCGAUUAAUCGGAAGAAGAAAUCUUGAUAGUGACUACCCCCCAAACAAAUUAUCUCUCACGGACCAAGAUUUCUAAAGUUCUGACUAUCUCGAGGUUAACUCAGAACACGUGUCUAGUCUCAUUAAGAUUGUUAAAUAAUGAGCAUGAUGUAGUGUCUUAACCCACUAGAUAUGCUUUGCCUAACCGGACAAAACGUGGUUAACCACCCAAAAGAUAUGAACCCACAUUUCGUGCAUGGUCAAAAUAUCAUGUCCCCAACUUCGUGUCAAUUCAUAGGUCAUUUAAGUCAUAUAAAUCUUUAGCACACCAGAUAUCCUCGGUACCUACUAAAAAAGUGCAGAAAGCUCUAAGAGAUGCCAGAUGAUCUAAGACAAUGGAGGAAAAGAUGGGAAGCAUUACAAGAAAAUAACACACGGAAACUUGUACCACUUUUUGGUGAAAAGAAGACUACUGAAUGUAGAUGAAUCUAUAUAGUGAAGCAAAAAGUAGAUGGCUCAAUUAAUUCAAUGUAGUUAAACAAUUUAUGCACAAUUCGAAUGAAGAUCAUAUAGAUGUUGUGGUGAGAAUUCUGAGAUACUUGAAGAGUCACCUAAGAAAGGCUUAAUGUUUUAAACACAAUCACCUUAAGGUGAUAGUUAUACUGAUGCAAAUUAGACAGGUUAUGUUAUUGACAGGAAGUCAACAUUUGGUUAUUUCACACUUGUAAGAGGAAACCUCGUUACUUGACAAAGUAAAAAGCAAAAGGUAGUUGCACAGUCAAAUACAAAAACCUAAUAUUGAGAGAUGGCUCAUGAAGUGUGAGGUCCUAUGGUUACACAAUAUGUUAUGUGUCUUAAGGUUCAAAUUUAUUAACUUGUUAUGAAAUUGUAUUGUGACAAUAAUGCAGCAAUUGAUAUAUCACAUAGUCGGUACAACAUGAUUAUGCCAAGCAAGUGGAGGUUGAUGGACAUUUCAUUAAGAAGAAAUUGGAUGCAAAGUUAAUUGCCUUCCCAUUUGUUACAACUGAAGAGUAACUAGUAGAUCUGUUGACUAAAGGAGUUUCCACUGAAGUGUUUAAUGACUCAUUCAAAAGUUGGGUAUUCGUGACUUGUAUGCUCUAACUUUUUUUUGAUCGGGUUAGUUGUUAGUUGUAUGCUCUAACUUGAGGGAGAUUGUUAGAGUGAGUCAACGCUUCCUAUUAAAAACGUAGUUCUUUUGUUCUAUUAGGAAUGUAAUUAGUCUAUAAAUCUGUCACUUAUUGUAUUUAGCAUUUACCCAAUGUAUACUUUAUAACCUCCUAGUGAGAUGCAUAGGAUAUCAUCUAUUCUUAUUAUUAUACUAUAUAUUAAAGGAGGGUGCGGGAUUCACUGUUCAUCAUCGGCUUAGUAACAGUACCGGCUCGAGCCGAUGACUGAAAUUACAAUUUUGUCCUUUUUUUGUAAUAAUUCACAGAUUCACAGCCUUGCCAUCUGCCCUAAAUAUAAAAUUCCUCUCCUGUUUGCGCCCUUUUUUUUUCUUUCCUUUUCUCUCGCUCAGUCGCUCUCCUUACUCUCCUCGCUCUGAAGUCUGAACUGUACGGAGCUUUCAAAUUUCAAUUGGGUUUUUGGAGAAAGCUCAGAAGCUACAAGCUACAACUUGAAGGCACCAAUUAAACAACAUAGUUUGCAAUUCAGCGAUUACAUUUCAAUUGAUGGGAAGUUGUAAACCUAAUCGAGAAGAGAAGGAAGAAGAUGUAUUUGGGUAUUUGGGUUUUAAUCUGUGAAAGAAGAAGAUGAAUUUGGGUAAUCGGUUUGCAAUUCCUUUUUUUUUUCUUUUUUUUUUUCCUCAGUUACGUCUAAUCGAUUGAAUCGGAUGGUUGGUUUUUGUGGUAUUGUGGUUUAAUUUGCAAUGCUUUUUCACGUCUUCAGAUAUCCUAGAAUGGUGCUCUAAUUGAUUUCCCAGGUAUUUUAGUCGCCUGCUUAAAGCUUUUGAAAUUAGGUUCCGGAGCCUUUGGGUCCGAUAGAGGAAUUUGAGUUGCAAUCUUCUUUAGGUUAGACCUUUUUUAUUUCCAAGAAAAUAAGUUCUUUGAAAUUUUUAGCUGGUUUGAAAUUGGCAUUCAACAAUUUAUGUUCUUAAAUUGUUCUUUUGUUGCUGAUAUUGCUUGCUUCUAUGUUUUGGGGUUUACUCUUGAGUUUGUGAAGGGUAAAGAUUGACUCUUUUCUCAUGUAAAUUGAGGGGACUGAUGGGAAUUUAAAGAAAUGGGGUUUGGUUAAAACGGGAUGUGUGUCCCGCUAAACAAAGUUUGGGUCUUUUCUCAUGUAAAUUGAGAGGCUUGAAGGGAAUUUGAAGAGAUAGAACAGUAGAUGACAGAGCUUCAAACUCUUAUUUGGUUGGAGGGCAAUAUCGACAGAAAGAGUCCUCUGCAAAUUCCAACUACUCCACAAGAUUAUGGGCACUAAUUAUGUAUUUACAGUGAUCAUGAUUUGACUAUGUGUGUAAAAACUCAAGAGGAAGUUGAUGAAGACAGGAUCAGUAAAAUGCCAGAUGAUGUUCUCUGCUUUCAGGUCAAGAUAGGUUGCUAUUCUGUACAUAUUCUUAAACACCUUUGUGGAGAGGAGACCUCAUGUUACGUCCCGAACCCAAAUUCACCCGUUUACUGGUCAUUUGGACGGUAAACGACAACUAUUUUCACUUUGACUGUCGUUUCAGCACUUUUAGUGGCCCUAAAAGUUGACUUUUUGUUCGGGUCAGAAUUUGAGAAAAUUUUCUUCACGAAAGUUGUAGAGGAUGUUAAACCGAGCGCGUGCAUAUGUGGUUCGUAAAAAUCGGAGCUCGUAUGCGAAAGUUAUAGGCGAAAAAGGAAAAGUUACUGUUCAAGGUAAGUUUCUAUAUAAAGGGAAAAUCACUGUGGUAAGUUUCCAAUUGGAAACUUACCGGGCUCCCUCUCUCUCCUCUCCCCCGAUCUCUCCUCCUCCGGUUCGGGGGAUUUUUGAAUUUCCGGCCUAAUUUCCGAUUCCGGCCACCUGACGGCGUGCCACUGGUCAUUCUGGGACCGCCUCUUCCUUCCCUACACGCUGGUACCCUGGGCUUUCGACAAAAAUGGCCGAAAAACCUCGAUUCGAAGCAAAUUCUCCUCCGGGUGCAAUUUUGGUUUUUCCGGCGAUUUCGCAGUUUCCGGCCGUCUCCGACCACCAAACUUGGACUGAAGGAGCGCCUUGAGCCGGCGAACAUUUCCCCUAAGGUCUCUUGCUCCGAUUUGCAUCGUGGAGGCCGAAUCGACGAAGAACAUCCUUGGGUCCGAAGCAAUUUUCUGGGCAAACUUCAUCAGCUUAAUCCGAGCUCUUAAAGGUAAAAUUGUGAGAUGUUGUAGUUGAAUGAAUGGUUAGUUUUGUUGAGUAGAAGCUACUGUCCAAAUUUGGUGGCCAUCGGAGGUGGUGGCCGCCGGCGCGUGGGCCCCACUCGCCGCCACUGUGGGUGGCGCGUGGUGGCGCGUAGGGCUGACAUUUAAUUCCAAUUUUUAGCCCAAUAAAUCCUAUAAUUUGAGUAGAGCUUGUUUAUGAAGUUUGGUAAUUUUUGGAGGAGUUUGGAAUUGUUUGUGAAUUUUGAAAGUGUGGAGUUUCGGUUGGUGAUUUGUGGGAAUCCGGCCUUCGGAUUUCCCUUAUUCCGUCAUGGAAUACCUUAAUCGAUGGAUUGAUAUAAAUGGUGAAGUUUGGCUUGAAGUUGAAAGGAGUUGGAAUUGCUAGUUUACGUGGGGUUUUCGGGAUUCAAUAUAGAAUCGUAUUGUUUUAUUGAAUUGUUGUUUACGGAAUACAAUUGUGUACAGGACGAGAUACUGACUCAUCGCUCGACGAGGAUCCUUACGCUUGGAUACCACGCUAGCCGUAUACUGUGAGUGGACGUUUGUUUUUGAAUAUUGAUGCAUGCAUUUAUUUCUCUAAAGAAAUGCUUUAUUUAAUUAUCAUCUUUUAUAUUUUGAGCAUAUGAUGAUUUGCUAUCCUUACUGAUUUUGGUUUUCGGAUUCUGAAGUGAUUUCAGAUUUGUUUGGGUUUUGAGAUUUACGAAAUAUUAUAAAGUGAUUUCGGAAAUGAAUUGGUUUCGGAUCUUAAUUUGGAUUUACGAAUUAUGAUGAUUGUCGACGAAUCAUUUUUCCGAGGUGACUUCCGGAUUUAAAUAUUAUAUUUCUAUUCGUCGAUUUGAGAUUUUUAAAGGAUUUUCGAAAUGGGAUUUCGAUUGAGUGAUAUUUCUUCUUUAUUUACCGACUUUCGAUUUUGGCAUUGGGAAUGCCUUAUUGAUAAUCUAGUUAUUCUUUUAGCGUGUGGGACACGCUGUUGCUUUAUACGACUUUUACGAGAAUUUCCGGGUACGGUUGGGAAUCGUACCCGUGUUUUCUUUAUUCGUGGGACAUGGGGAAGCCUUAUAGAUUUACUGGAUUUUAAUGGUUUUUACCCGCCAUACCUGGGUCGUCAUAUUUAUUGCUAGCUAGCCUAUUAGUACUCCUCCCUGCUUACUAUGUGUUUGUGGGUGAGUAAGAGCAGAGCAUGGGAUGCUCCAGAGUGUGGGACACUCCGACCCGAGCCUGGGAGGCUCCCUUCUUGUAUGGUGAUAACUUCUUCCCCAUACUUUUUCGUGACUUGACUAGCGGGGCUAGUCCAUUAUUUUCGUAACCAGCGGGGCUGGUGUGUUUUCACGAGAAUUUUGGAUUUCGAUGUUAUCGUAACCAGCGGGGCUGGUGUGUUUUUACGAGAAUCUUGGAUUUGUUGAUAAAUGUGUUUUUCUUAAAAGUUGCAUACAUCGGGUUUUUAAAAGGAAUAAAUGUGGAAAAGCACAAACCCACUUUUCUUUACAAUUAUUUAUUUAUUUAUUUUGUCCACUCACGCUAACGUUUUUAUGUGCUUUUCCCCUGGGCCCUUCGGUUUCAAAUGCCCAGUCUGCAGAGUAGCUGGUUCGGCAUAGUAGGAUUCGGGGCAUAGCAUCUGCUGCUGUUGUUUUCAUUGUAGGUUAAUCGUUGAACCUACUUGUAUUAUGAAUUCUUAAUCUUCUUUAGAUUGCUCUGAUAACCUGUGGGACAAUUGUUGUAAAGUUUGGGUGUUGCCCCUGUGUAUGUUGAAAUGUUCGGUUUUUAGUUGUAAAUUGUGGAGUUGUUGGAUUUUGGGGAGCAGGGUGGCUCCAGGAGAUUAUGGAUGAUUUGUUAGAAGUGUGAUUGUAAUUCUACAGGUUGGGUAGUCCAUUUUUAGGGGUGACUCUACUGAAUUUUCGGUAGAGUUAUUCCUAAGGUGGGCCCCACAGGGCCACCUCGGAUUUCAGGGUGAAAUUCGGGGCGGGUCCUGUCACCUCACGUAUUCCAAAUGAUGAAGAACCCAGUUGUGAUGGCGUAAGCAGACUUGCAAACCAUACAUUCAGUCAUAUGGGCAAGCAUUACCCCUGGAGCUGUAUUGAUCGUUAUGGUUGGAAGAUUCAAGGGCAAUAGGGUUGUCUUUUUGAAGCAUCAUUCUUCUUGCUUGCUUUUGGUCACUGUUAAGUUAUUGUUUUUCUCAACUAUGUGAGAAAUUGUUUUUACUUUUGGUUACCAAGUAGUGCCUUUUGAUGAAUGUUACAUGUAGUUUGCUA